AUGGCCGGGGACGCGCCGCCGUCGCCGACGGGCGAGGAGCCCUCGCCCGCGUCGGCGCCGCUACUGCUGCGGCGGAGGGGCUCGUACCAGCGCUGCAUGUCGCACGCGCGCGACGAGCUCCGCAGCUUCCGCUCCUGCCUCCGCUGGAUGUGCGUCGACCACUCAGACGGCUCCAGCGCCGCGGCCUCGUGGCUCGUCUUCUCCGUCCUCGCGGUGGCCGUCCCGGUGGCCGCGCGCGUCGCCAUGCCGCGCCGCGCCUACGACACGCAGGUGCAGGUCUCGCUCACGCUCUCCGCGGCGCUCGCCUACAUCACGCUCACCUCGCUCAUCCGCCGCCGCGGCCUGCGCCGGCUGCUCUACCUGGACCGCCUCCGCCACGACUCCCAGGACGUGCGCGCGGGCUACACCAUGCAGCUCGCCGGCUCCUUCCACCUCCUCGCCUGCUUCGUCCUGCCAUGCUUCCUCGCCGACGCCGCCUACAAGGUGUUCUGGUACUGCGCGCACCGGCCCUUCCCGGCGUGGUGGUCCGCCGCGGCGUGCGCGAUGGAGAUGGCGUCGUGGAUGUACCGCACGGCCAUGUUCUUCAUGGCGUGCGUGCUGUUCCGGAUCAUAUGCUACCUGCAGAUCCUGCGCAUGACGGGCUUCGCGCGGGACUUCGGCCAGUGCGCCGACGUGGUCGCCGUGCUGGGGCAGCACCGCCGCAUCCGUGACCAGCUCCGGCGGAUCAGCCACCGGUACCGCAAGUUCAUAAUGUACUGCCUCCUGCUCGUGACGGCCAGCCAGUUCACCGCGCUCCUCGGCGCCACGAGGCCCCACGCGCAGGUCAACAUCGCCACAGCCGGCGAGCUCGCGCUCUGCUCCCUGAGCCUCGUGGCCGGCCUGCUCAUCUGCCUGCACAGCGCCGCAAAGAUCACGCACAAGACGCAGGCCAUCACCAGCAUCGCCGCGGCGUGGCACGCAGACGCCACCAUCAACACCGUGGAGCGUGACCAGGAGAACCCCAGGACGCCGAGCAGGUCGUGCCUACAGCUGCAGCAGGUGCCCCCAUCCCCGGAGUCGGACCAGUCGGACGACGACGAGAUGUCCCCGAGCGAGGACAGCCUCGACACCUCCUCCAAGUUCACGUCCUUCCACGCCACUCACAUCUCAUACCAGAAGAGGCAGGCGCUAGUGACCUACCUGGAGAACAACCGCGCGGGCAUCACGGUGUUCGGCUUCGUCGUGGACCGGACGUGGCUCCACGCGCUCUUCAUGCUCGAGUUCUCGCUAGUCAUGUGGCUGCUGGGGAAGACCAUUGGUAUAUCUUAG
rnacentral:rRNA from 1 species